UACGGAAGGGGGCUAGCGUUGUUCGGAAUUACUGGGCGUAAAGCGCACGUAGGCGGACUUUUAAGUCAGGGGUGAAAUCCCGGGGCUCAACCUCGGAACUGCCUUUGAUACUGGAAGUCUUGAGUAUGGAAGAGGUAAGUGGAAUUGCGAGUGUAGAGGUGAAAUUCGUAGAUAUUCGCAAGAACACCAGUGGCGAAGGCGGCUCACUGGCCCGGUACUGACGCUGAGGUGCGAAAGCGUGGGGAGCAAACAGG
rnacentral:rRNA from 1 species